UAAAUAGAACACUAAAGAAUGGUAAUAAGCAGGCAUAAAGUUUAAGAAAGUAAAAAGAAUUUUUAAAUUUUGUAGUCAUAAAUUAAAGAUAUAUCAAAUAUAUUAAUAUAUUCUUUAAGCAUGUCCUAUAUUGGAUAGUUGAAAUCAAAAGUUUAUAAAAAAUGAAAAGAAAUAGUUUUUAAAAAAGGAUAAGUGGUGU
rnacentral:lncRNA from 1 species